UACGUAGGGGGCUAGCGUUAUCCGGAAUCAUUGGGCGUAAAGAGCGUGUAGGCGGCUCGGUAAGUCCGCUGUGAAAGUCCAGGGCUCAACCCUGGAAUGCCAGUGGAAACUGUCGAGCUAGAGUCCGGAAGAGGCGAGUGGAAUUUCCGGUGGAGCGGUGAAAUGCAUUGAGAUCGGAAAGAACACCAACGGCGAAAGCACUCUGCUGGGCCGACACUGACACUGAGAGACGAAAGCUAGGGGAGCAAAUGGG
rnacentral:rRNA from 1 species